AGGAUGAACGCUAGCGGCAGGCUUAAUACAUGCAAGUCGAGGGGCAGCACAGGUAGCAAUACUGGGUGGCGACCGGCAAACGGGUGCGGAACACGUACGCAACCUUCCUUUAAGCGGGGAAUAGCCCAGGGAAACUUGGAUUAAUACCCCAUAAGAUUAUGGUGUGGCAUCACACAGUAAUUAAAGCUCCGGCACUUAAAGAUGGGCGUGCGGCUGAUUAGGUAGUUGGCGGGGUAACGGCCCACCAAGCCAACGAUCAGUAACUGGUGUGAGAGCACGACCAGUCACACGGGCACUGAGACACGGGCCCGACUCCUACGGGAGGCAGCAGUAAGGAAUAUUGGUCAAUGGACGCAAGUCUGAACCAGCCAUGCCGCGUGGAGGAUGAAGGCCCUCUGGGUUGUAAACUUCUUUUAUCUGGGAAGAAACCCAUCUUUUCUAAGGUGGUUGACGGUACCAGUUGAAUAAGCACCGGCUAACUCCGUGCCAGCAGCCGC
rnacentral:rRNA from 1 species